GCGUGCGUAACUGAAUAUAGUGGCUUUAUAAUCUCUGUUCCAAGCCAGAUCCGAACUUCCUCCCAUCUGACAAACAGGUCGCACCAAACUGAAAGCAAACACAAAAACGGUCGGAGACUUAUCCUUGGGGAUUCCCUCUCCCGGGGGAAUUAGAGGAAUUCCCAACUGCAAAGUACUUGCCCAUCCUGGAGCCAGAUUACAGAAAAUAAAUGUUUUAUUAGACAA